rnacentral:lncRNA from 10 species
UCACUUUCUAACAUUUUUGCAAUCAAAAAAUUAUCUUUUAAAGAAGUUUACUAAUUUUCAUGGGAUGAUCACAGAUUAGCUGCAAGCAAUUUGCUCAUGAAAGGGCUUUUUAUAACACAUCAUAGAUUACCAAUAAAUGGGCUGAAAUGACUUCAUACUAAAUGUAAAACAGAUUACCUUUCCAUCUGUAAUUCAGUGUUCAAAAGAAACAAAAUAUUAGCAAGUUAUUCAUAAUACAUAAUUCAUUUUUAUGUGAGCAUUAGUAAUUCUGGCCUACUUGUGGUCCGGAUAAACCCAUAUUUAUGAUGUUGUAACUUAAAGUGUCUUUCACUCUGUUCAUGGUGUUCUUUUUACAUUAAAAAAAAAAAUUAGAAGUAGGGAAGGCCAUAGCUUCUCAUUUUAAAUGUGCUCAUUCCUGGGGAGCUAAGCAUAUGAAAAUUAUAAUCCAACAAACAUCUGUUUCUAAACUACUGAUGCUUUAGCAUGAACUAGAAAUAUAAAUUUUAAUCUGAUGACUGAAAGCAUCCCUUUAACUGUUUUUUUUUUUUUUUUUUUUUUUUUUUUUUUUUUUUUUGAGUAGUCCAGUGGGAUGACAUCUGGAGGGGCUAUGCUUUAGAUUAUUUAUAGAUGUGGGCAAUAAGAGCUACAUUUAUGUUGUCAGUGCUGUUUGCCCUCGUUUAAUUUCUCAAAUGACCUAAUUAUAUGUGUUCUCAAUAUGUCUUGGGAGGAAAAUAAUUGCUGAUACUGUCAAAGGCAAAAUGCUGAAUAUGUUUCAGUGCUUCUCACAUUCCAUGGCCUGAUUAUGGGCAUCAUUAAAUUACACGUUACCAUUCUUCCGGAACAUCGCAUUGAACAUGUCCUAAUGUUUCACAAUGAGAAGUGAAGCACUUCCUCUUACUUAAAAAGAAAAAUAUUUGAUUUUUACAGGAUGCCUGACACUAAUGCUUACUAUUCUGCUAUCUAUGAUGUCUUCACUUAUGGAUAUAUUUAUUAACAAGUACUUAUUAGCUAUUUAACAUUUCCUCUACUGAGUGUUAUUAAUUACAGAUGCUGUAUUAGUUUCCUAAGGCUGCUGUAACAAAUUACCACAAACGUGGUGACUUAAAACAACAGAAAUUUAUUCUCUCACGGUUCUGGAGGCCAGAAGUUCAAAAUACAGCUGGGACCAAAGGCAUCUCUAAGGAAGGAUACAGUCCUUGCCUCUUCCAGGGUUCUGGUGAGUGUCCCGGCAUUCCUGGCUGGUGACCACAUCACUCCAAUCUCUGUGUCUGUGAUCACAUUGCCGCCACCUCCUCUUCUGUGUGUGUCUCUUUUGUGAGUCUUUCAUAAGGACACUUGUUAUUGGAUUUAGGUCCCACUCAGAUAAUCCAAUAUGAUGUCCCCUUUUCAAGAUCCUUAAGUUAAUAAUAUCUGCAAGGACCCUUUAUCCAAAUAAGGUCACAGUGACAGAUUUGGGGGAUUAAGAUGUGGACAGAUCUUUUUUGGAGUCACCACUCAACCCACUGCAGAUGGCAAAUUUUAAAUGGCAAUGGUUGGUAGCCUAUAGGCAGAUUUUUGAUUUUUAAAAUCUGCUAUUUAAAGAUAAGUUACACAGUUGUUUUCUUUUUCUCUAAAAUACCUCAAAUAAACACUGUACCUUUUUGGACGUAACCUCUUGCAUCAGUGAGGUCCAUGAGUUAAAUGUGCUCAUUUGCUUUAAUACAACGGAUUUUAUUGCUGGUAUAUCUAAUGGUGAAAAUAUGGAUUUAAUGUUGGUAUUUGCACGCCACUAAAAGAACAAAAGAGCCUCCAAAUCUCUCUUCUCCCCUCUUCUGACAAGGCUCUCCAGGUUCUUAUGGGUGGUCCAUGAUAGUGAAAGACAGUGAAAAGAAAGAUCUCAGAAGUAUGAACUCAUUUACUAUAUCCUCAAAUAUCAAUCGAACCCCCACUUCGUGCCCUGUAAUAUUCUAGACAUUGGAAGUAGAGACAGCUGACUUCCUAGGGGAUGACUUAUGUUGAUAUAUAGGGCCUUGUGCUUGGAAGGUCCCCACCCUUGGCUCAGUGCUCUGUUGUUGUUAUCUUAAAAUUAUUAAUAUUCAUUUUGCACUGGGCCCCAUGGAUUAUGUAGCAGAUCUUGAAAAGAACAGUGGACAAUAUAGGAAAGCUUCCAGCUCUCAAGGACUUGUCAGGGUAUCUGAUGGUAGACAGCCAGCACCAGUGCCCCAGACAUAAAUAUGUGAUGCUGAGCCCUUUGGGGUCAAAUCUAAGAUAAGCCAGUAAAGAAUGUAGUGUCACAUUUGGAUAUACUGUAAUGGUAUCAUGGACUGACUCACAGUUUCUGAUUUUGUCUUCUAUCAAAACUUUCUACUUAUUAAUAUGAAGCUUCAUUUCUAAAUUUCAGAGCAGCAUCUCCCAAGAUACAAUCAGAAUUGUCUAACUAACUGUUUUCUUAAGAAAAUCUUUCAGGGUUAAUGACCAUCAUAAACCCUCUCUCUAACAUAGACAUUAGUUUCAGCAUUUGGGAGGGGGAAAGGACCUUGGAAUCAUUGCCAAUAAGAGCAAUGUUUUUAUAACAAAAUAUGUUUCAAAUUCUAUCUAUCUUGGACAUCUCUUUCAGAGAAGAUAAGUUGUGUAAUAUUGAUACUCUGAGAAAAGGCAAUUCAUUUAUACCUCCUUCUAAAGAAGUGUUGUCUCAAUAUGUUCAUCAUAGUGGCAUGCCGGAUUAUAUGAAUGAGAUCUGGCUCCUUAAAUCUUCAGGGCUUCCCAGCAAUCUAUUUUUAACAUAGAACAAGCAUAUAAAUAUAUAUGUUUUUAAUCCAUAUUACUCCUGAAAGGAAUAAACUCAGAACUGAAGUUGUUGGUGGAAGUUUAAUGCAGUUCAAUUAAGGAUUUGUAUCCAAAAGAAGUUGUUGCUUGUACUUCCAUUUCUGCAUUAGUCACACUAGAUAUAUAGUCACUUUUAACAGCAUUGUGCCAUUACCAGUGACUUUAAUUACUGUUUGGUAAUCUUAUCUACUUACACCAAUAUUAAUUAAGUCCAUCUGGUGGGGGGAAUGGGGGGUCAUCUCAACAUAUGUUGAUUGAAAAAUGCAAACCAUAAUCUUUAUAGUGGCUAAUUUUCUCAGACCCUUCGUUCCUGAGGACAGAAGGAGGUGAACACACCAUUAGUUCUAAAAAUUAAUUCUAAUAUAGGAACUUGUUUUCUCUGCCUGUUUUAGUGCCUCCUGUUGGAAUGAGCUCACUAACCAGUGGAAACAAACUGUUUAUCCUUCUAUGAUGUUGCAACUGCCUGGGCUUUCUAAUGCGUCUUCAGAUUUCGGUUUGUACUCAGAACAAGUGAGAAAAGUUUUACAGCAACUCCACGAAACAAAGCAGACAGGCUCUCCUGAAGCCAAGGAGUUAUGAAAAAGGCAGGCAUCGCGCAUUGAAUCAAGUAUGCCAUUACCCUCACUCCCAUGAACCUGUCUUUCAGCACAAUCCAUGACAGCAAGAAGACAAAGGCUUUGUUACAACAGAACAGAGCGGAGACAUCCGUGGCCGUCAGCUUCUUUAAAGCCAGUAAAUAAAGGUAAUUAGUCAAAGUCCAUAGAAUAGAAAAGGGAGCAGUUCUUUUAAGAAAGAGUUUCAGCGUCAGACCAUCUUCACCAAAAAUCCGACUGCAUUCCCUAGGAAAGAAAAGAGAAGUUAAUAUCCAGGUACUGAUGGUGACACCUCUUGUCUUAUCUGACUCAUCGCAGCCAUUUUCAGGAUGGGUACAUUGUGCUGUUACUGAAUCCCCAGGCUGAGACAAAAGAUGCAGGGUUUUGAUAUUUUGAAGAUGAGAAAACUACCUACCUUGUAAACUUCACCAGGAGUCAUUGUCUAACCAUGUUUUAGUUACUCAACUACAGGUUUUGGCAUUCAGUUUCUCUGCCAUACUAUACACCACUAAUAGAUUGUAUCUAUAUAUUUCCCUGCUUCCUUAUCCUCCGGCUUGAUAAAGCUUCCCCACAUGUACUCAUAAGAGUCCGUGUAACAUCUCUGCAUUCUGUGACAAUGGCGAGAUCUUUCUAUUUAGAAGCUUACUAGGAUGUACCGUUAUUUAAGAGGAGGUCACCCACAUACCUGAUCUGUUCUGUCUCUCAACUCUGUGUCCACAAACUCCUGAGGAUCCUUGGUUUUGAAGUUCAAGAAUAGGAGCAGAGGAAUCUUCGGUGACAGACAGUGGGGACAGUUGUCUACUGAUGCCACUGUGUGAACUGGGGCAGUUGGCUCCUGGUUUACAUCUAGUGACUGAUGAUCUGGAGGUACCUGGAAAGACAGAGUUCACGCCAGUUUGAGAACUGCCUGAACAAAUUGGAAGUAGAUUUUAUUAUUUAUUUAAUUAUUGUUUGGAAACAGGGUCUCACUCUGUCACCCAGGCUAGAGUGCAGUGGUGUGAUCUCGAGUCACUGCAGCCUCUGCCUCCCAGGUUCGAGCAAUUCUCCUGCCUCAGCCUCCCAAGUAGCUCGAAUUACAGGUGUGUGCUACCACACCCAGCUAAUUUUGUAUUUUUUGUAGAGACAGGGUUUCACAGUGUUGGCCAGGCUGGCUGAAGUAGAUUUUAAAGGCCUGAACAGUAAAAUAUAUGGUAGCAACAAUCACAGUCCUAAUGAGCUUAUUCAAAUUCUAUAAAAGGGGCUCAUAAAAAGAAAAUGUUAUGGCAAGGUCUGUGCCUAUAAGAUAAAGACUCUUUUAGAUAAAUCUAUUCACUAGAAAUGAACACUAGAAGAUGGUAUUUGGAUUGGUACUUGUGUUCAGAAUUAAUACUUAACACAGUCAAAUAGUUUAAGGCAAGGAAGGCACAGUGUUCUGUGAUUUUCCACUCUACCCUUUUCUUCCUAAGGCUGUCGAUUUCCUAACUGGUAAAACUGCCAACAGUGUUUCCAACAAACUGACUAUACACUUUUCCAUGGGAUUGAUCACUAAAAUUUAAUUUCAUUGUGUCUUCUCAAUCACUACUAGCCUCUAUCCGGUGUUACAGAUGAAAAUCAUCCACCAGCCAACACCCCAAGAAUCUCCAACCCCGGGUCAGCCUCAUGGGUCUGCAGCCAAUAUAGUCACAUAGGGUGCUGUGCUGAGAAGGGCCCAUCCUGCCACUUCCCACCCCUCAGCCCCAAUUUUCCUAUCCAAAUGAUGCAUCUAUCAACAUUAAGAGAUUAACACUGGUACAUCACUAUUAACCAAAUUCCAAACUUUAUUUGGAUUUUCACUAGUUUUAUCACUAAUGUCCUUUUUCUAGGACCCUAUUCAGGAUACCACAUUACAUUUAAUCAUCAUGUCCCUUUAUCCACCUAUGGUCUGAUAUAGUUGUUCAGUCUUGUUUAUCAUAACCUUGACAGUUCUAAAGAGAGCUGUUGAAGUACUUCGUAGUCUCUCAAUUUGAGUUUGCCAGAUAUUUUAUUUGGCUAUAUUUGGCUCAUGGAUUUUUCAGGAAGAACACCACAGAGGUAAAGAAUCCUUCUCAUCAUAUAGUAUCAGUCAUGACAUGCUACCAACAUGACUUGUUAUUGAUGAUGUUAACUGUGAUCACCCAGCCAAGGUCGUGUUGGCCAGGUUUCUCCACUGUCUUUUUUUUCCCUUUCCAUGCUCUCUUCUUCGGUAGCCAGUCACUAAGUCCAGCCCACACUCUGGUGUGGGGAAGAGAGGGUGCUAAGCCUCACUUUCUGGAGUCGGGGAGGUCUACAUAUAUUAUCUGGAUUUCUUCUGUAAAGAUAAUUUGUCUCUUUUCCUCCU